UACGAAGGGGGCUAGCGUUGUUCGGAGUUACUGGGCGUAAAGGGCGCGUAGGCGGCGCACCAAGUCAGGCGUGAAAGCCCUGGGCUCAACCCGGGAAUUGCGCUUGAGACUGGUGUGCUCGAGUUCGGGAGAGGUGAGUGGAACUGCGAGUGUAGAGGUGAAAUUCGUAGAUAUUCGCAAGAACACCAGUGGCGAAGGCGGCUCACUGGCCCGAUACUGACGCUGAGGCACGAAAGCGUGGGGAGCAAACAGG
rnacentral:rRNA from 1 species